UGAACGAUACAGGUCUAAAUUGCUGCUGUGCUUGGAAACCUGUUCCCCGUUACUUCCCUCCUGCAUUGAACACAGCUCCCACACCUGCGUUCUGCCACUGUCUUGUCUGUUACAUAGUUCUGGCUUUCACUCCCGCCGUGCAUCUCGAGGUGCAAGACAAGCUGGUGGAGAUGACUGCAAAUGCUGGUUUGUGAGCAAGGCAGCCUCACGUAAAAUGCUGCAGGAAGAGGAAAGCCAGGCGCCAACCUGACAAAAUGCUGAGUCGUCCCUUGGCAUGGCAGCCCACUCAAGCGGCAAACAAGAGAAGAAAAUAGACUUGGUGAUUUGUGUAAGCCCUGGCAACCGCACUUGAAUAGGAUUCCUGUGGAGCUGACAUCUCAGGACAGCUUUUGAUCGGAACUAUCACUAUUCCAAACACAUGCAUGACAGUGCUGAUGAGAGAGCCUGCCUGAGACUGACCGGAUGCCCUCUAGUCCCAGAAGAGGCAACAUUGAGAGCAGCCAUACAAGUCUUUGCUUUCUUCCCCAUCUGAAAGAAAGAUAUUGUUGACCUCAGACUGCAUUCACUUGCCCACUGCCUUCAGCUCCCGUGCCUGGCGGCCCAAACGUGAAGAUUCUCCCCCCCCCCCUUCUUUCUGUCUCCUGUUUUCCCCGCACAAGCCAGCCAAGCCACUGGGGUAAGAAAUUGCCUUUUGUUCCUGCCAAUGAGUGAAAUCCAGAGGACAGGACCCAAAUCUCCUUAGAGGUAAAUUAUUCAAUCACAGUUCUUUCCCUGAAUUGGUGGAACUAAUUAAUGUAUUUAGAUUUCUCUCUCUCCUUCCCCCUCUCACCCGCCCUGCCACAACUUCCAACCACCUUGACUUGCUUGAUUAACAUUCUCACUGCGAAUUUCCCCAGAAUGUUUCUCAGAGGCCAUACAUAAAUUCCCUCUCAUCUCCAAUACAGGAUGUUCAUUCUGAUGGAACAAUGGACAAGAUCUAAAAGGGCUCGCCCUGAGGGCUCAGCUCUUUGGAGAACAGUCUCCUUGAGGAGGGAAAGAACAAAAAGCGCAGCCCUGUUUCCAGGGGUCUAGGAGAUGGCUGGCUGGAGCUAUCUAUAAGAGACAGGUCUUUGGAGAGUCCACAUUACGAGGUCUGAGUUUGAAAGUCCUGGGGGAGAAUAGAAAGGAAUUGAAAUGACAAACUGCAUAAUGAGAAAAAUGAACUUGCAGGGGCUGUAAAUAGAAGUCAAGGCUUCCACAUGAUAUGCCCACCAAGGAGAAAGAAGGGGACAGCAGUAUCCCCUGCAGACCCAUUGGCUAUAGAAACUGGAGGCCCAACAGCCCCAGAUCCUGUGUUUUUCUGCCAGGAAAUUUGGGUUAGGAGGUUCCAGAAGCAUGUGGCUUGUUGGCUGUAUGUGGACUUAAAUAUGUUUUUGUAAACCAGAAGGUGAGGGGAAGGGGAGAGGCAGUGGCAAUUAACUGAUGCCUGCAGGGGAUGGCAUACAGGGUGGGACACCCAGAGGGACGGGAAAGGGGCAGACCCAUGUAGCAAUUAACAUUUCGGUGUGGGCGUAAGAGGGCAGUGCACUCCAGAAUGCUUCCACAAGUCACCUAUGGAGAGGAGGGUGUGAUUGGUGCAGGAUUUGGGACAGGGCAUGAGUGUCAGAGAGGGAGGAAGCAAGCCUGGGUAUUGCAUACUCUAGCUGCUUUGGGCACCCUGUUGUCUAGCUCAGUGUGACUGUGGGGAAAAGGAAGAAAAGAUGCAGGUGGCUAUUUGGGAAGGAGACAAUCCUUGCUCCUGGGUAUUUGCCCGUCACUGUGAUUGGAGCUUGCAGCAAACUAUUGCAUGAAAGUUGCCCAACUUCAGAAUGAGCAGUGAGGGGGAACAAAAGAUCCUUUUCCCUUUACCCAUUUUUCAUUUAGUGGAGGAGCUGGGAAGCAAGGAAGCACAAGCCACAGAGACCACAUGGGAAACAUAGUCAACCAAAGUGUAGAAGCAUUUCUGCUUGUACAGCCUGGUGUGUCUCUUUGUUGUUGCUAGUAGUAGCCCAUAUUGGCAUAGAAACUGGAGCUCUGCUACUGAACAGCUCAUUUGUCACCUCAAUCAAUAUCAAACAUUGCACCGACCCUCCCUAUGAAGUGUCUGGUGGGUUCGAGCCUCGCCUGCCCAAUACCAAAACUCUGACCUCUAACACUUGAUCUAAAAGAAUUACUCCACCUGCUGGUAGCAACAGUAGACUAUUAUCCUCUAUGCACGUUAACCACUAGAAAGGUGCACAACACAAGCUUUACAAGCAUGCUGCAAAACCCAACGCUGGUUGCUGAGGAUACGACUAUAUCACACCACACACGGAGGUGGUUCUGCUGUUCAAGAUUGCUUUAGUUUAACCCUGGGGCAAGUGUCACAGGGCACCAAUGAAGGAUGUGCAUAGCAGAGUAGAGCUGGGAGCUUGUGGGAUUCAGAAGGCUUCUCCUGCAGGGGGGAAGGAAGCUGGUUGCCACUUGGGGGAGGGCAGUUAUCUGGCUACAGACACGCCAAUCACUUUUAAAGUAUGUUAGUCUCUUUAAAUAACCCUUCUGUAGGAGCUAAGCCCCACGAAGGGGCUGCAGGAGACUGCAUGCCUGUGGAGAAAGUAAGCACUGGGUUCUCCUAACCUUAAUAUUUCCAGCUGUCUUUUUACCAAUGGGCUUUGGCCAGCUUCACCAACCCUUGUGUGUUCUAUCUUCCUGAUGUGUCUCAGCAGGACGCCCUCCCUGAGCACGAGGUGGGGAAUGGCGUGAAGCUGCCCACUUAGGGACACCGGACGCAUUUCUCUACAGACUGGCACUCUGAGCUGCUACAGCUGUUGGGAUGGACCAUCAAGCAGCCCUUUGCCAAAAGGGCCAUGCCUCAGGUUUCCUCUGCUCCCAGCUAGGCUCAAAACUUUGCAGAAUUCUCAAGCUAGGGGAAAAGGAAAAAUAAGAGAUAAGGGAAUGCAGCAGAGGGACACCCAUUGGGCUGGGGAGACAUGAUAGGAACAAUGCUUUCCCCGCCUUCUUCUCUUUCCAUAGACCAUUUGAAACCUCUCAGGGCCUUUCAUGCCUAAACAGUAGGGCUCAUGCUUGGGUUACACCAUGUCGGGGUGCAACUGAAAAAGGAACAUUAAAGAUUUAAUAGAACAUCUGGAGUGAGAGUCUUGGCUGCUCCAGAACCUUAUGCUUCCCACAAAAUCUGCUGGUCUGACAUAUACAAUAUGAAAGACCAAGCAGACUGCUAUGUGUUGCAUACUCCAAAUUACCUUUUAUCGGCACAACAAAUUUAGUUUGGAGCAGCCUUUGGUGUCUACGGCGCCUUUAGAUACACGCACCUUUAAUACAAACACCAUUUAAUAGACUGCAAAAUCAUCAAAGAUUAACUAGUCUUACUGGCCUGCUUUAGCAGCCCUGGUAGUCAUCUCUGAAGUUGUGCUACUUUCAAUAUAAGCACAAUACACGUAUUGAAUAAAGAUGGUGUGCGACAAACGGUACCUCCUCAGUCUAAGUAAGCAGAACCAACAUAUUCUUCAUUCAUUUUGUUCUCAGGGUUACUGUUUUUCCAUGGUGAGAGGUUGGCUGUCCAGGUGAGACCUUUGCUUUCCCUAAGAAUGGUAAUGGGGGAAAUUUACCAAGGUC